rnacentral:tmRNA from 1 species
GGGGGUGAUCGGUUUCGACGGUGAUCGUCGAUCCAGGAGAAGCGGGCCGAGGAUGCAGGGUUAUCUCGUGAACGCUCCCUGCAAAACCAAUAGGUGCCAACAACACGCGCACCGACUUCGCACUCGCCGCCUGAGCGAGUCUUCGAAGUCCGUUAGUCCGAGUUUGCUCUCGCCUCGGUAACUAGCGUCAUCUAGAGAGAUUGCUUGCAGCGUUUGUCGUCGCCGCUGCAGGGACUUAAGACGGCUGGGCCUGUCAGCAGCACGCUUGCUAGAUUGCUGGGGCCGAGAAAAGCGAAGCAAGCUGCGCCCGGAGAAGUCCUGGUUCACAGUCAUCGGACGCGGGUUCGAUUCCCGCCACCUCCACAA